rnacentral:rRNA from 1 species
ACCUGCGUUGUAUUAGCUAGUAGGUGAGGUAAUGGCUCACCUAGGCGACGAUACAUAGCCGACCUGAGAGGGUGAUCGGCCACACUGGGACUGAGACACGGCCCAGACUCCUACGGGAGGCAGCAGUAGGGAAUCUUCGGCAAUGGGGGCAACCCUGACCGAGCAACGCCGCGUGAGUGAAGAAGGUUUUCGGAUCGUAAAGCUCUGUUGUAAGUCAAGAACGGGUGUGAGAGUGGAAAGUUCACACUGUGACGGUAGCUUACCAGAAAGGGACGGCUAACUACGUGCCAGCAGCCGCGGUAAUACGUAGGUCCCGAGCGUUGUCCGGAUUUAUUGGGCGUAAAGCGAGCGCAGGCGGUUUGAUAAGUCUGAAGUUAAAGGCUGUGGCUCAACCAUAGUUCGCUUUGGAAACUGUCAAACUUGAGUGCAGAAGGGGAGAGUGGAAUUCCAUGUGUAGCGGUGAAAUGCGUAGAUAUAUGGAGGAACACCGGUGGCGAAAGCGGCUCUCUGGUCUGUAACUGACGCUGAGGCUCGAAAGCGUGGGGAGCGAACAGGAUUAGAUACCCUGGUAGUCCACGCCGUAAACGAUGAGUGCUAGGUGUUGGAUCCUUUCCGGGAUUCAGUGCCGCA